rnacentral:rRNA from 1 species
AUGGCUUUGAUGGCGGCUGCAGCAAUCGCAGGUUCCGUGCCGGCAUUGUACGUGUUCGGCGACUCGCUGGUGGAUGUGGGGAACAACAACCAUCUGCUGACGCCGAUCAAGGCGGACUUCACGCACAACGGCAUGGACUACCCGGGGAGGAAGGCCACCGGCCGCUUCAGCAACGGCAAGAACUCCGCCGACUUCCUCGCCGACAAGCUUGGGCUAGCGACCUUGUCCUCGAGCAGCAAUGCCAACUACGUGAACGGCGUCAACUUCGCUUCCGGCGUGUACUCAUCUCUCGCGCGCAGCCUCGGGCAGGCCCAGGCCGCGAGCCACCUGGCCAGGCCCAUCUUUGCCAUCACCAUCGGCAGCAAUGACAUCAUCCACUACGCCAAGGCCAACCCCGCCGCCACACCCUCCCAGCAACAGCGGUACGUCAACGCGCUCAUGCAAACCCUCUCGGACCAGCUCGACAUCCUCAACAACCUCGGCGCGCGCAAGGUGUUGUUCCUAGACACGGGGCAGGUGGGAUGCACCCCGUCGCUCCGGGAGAUCAGCCCCACUAAGGUCUGCAGCGUCGUGGCGAACGCCAUGGCCGUGCAGUACCACAAUGCGGCCAAGGGCCUGCCGAGCGCCAUGACUGUCCAGCUCCCAGACCUGCACUGUCGGGCAAUAAGCCACGGCCCGGACAGGCGCGGUGCGCAUAUACUACCAAGCAAGUCCACAAACAUCGGUGGCCACGAGGAGGACGAGGCGAAGGCAACGAGGGACGCGAAGCGGUACCCUCUUUCAAUGACACUGAAACUAUUGGCUCUCCUUUCGUUGAUUCAAUGA